AUUGAACGCUGGCGGAAUGCUUUACACAUGCAAGUCGAACGGUAGAGGGGGCAACCCCUCGAGAGUGGCGAACGGGUGAGUAAUAUAUCGGAACGUGCCCAGUCGUGGGGGAUAACGUAGCGAAAGUUACGCUAAUACCGCAUACGAUCUAAGGAUGAAGGCGGGGGAUCGCAAGACCUCGCGCGAUUGGAGCGGCCGAUAUCAGAUUAGGUAGUUGGUGGGGUAAAGGCUCACCAAGCCAACGAUCUGUAGCUGGUCUGAGAGGACGACCAGCCACACUGGAACUGAGACACGGUCCAGACUCCUACGGGAGGCAGCAGUGGGGAAUCUUGGACAAUGGACGCAAGUCUGAUCCAGCCAUUCCGCGUGCAGGAUGAAGGCCCUCGGGUUGUAAACUGCUUUUGUACGGAACGAAAAGGUCUCUCUUAAUACGGGGGGCUCAUGACGGUACCGUAAGAAUAAGCACCGGCUAACUACGUGCCAGCCGCCGCGGUAA
rnacentral:rRNA from 1 species